GACCAAGGUCAGUAGAAGAUGGAGAAGACAGAGGUUCUUGAGAAGGAACGCACUUGUCAAUGAGGAAGUGAGGGGCUUAUUGCAGCUGUCCAAAGGUCUGAACAAUUCCUCAACAAGUAAGACGACUGGUGGCUCCCAACCGCUGUUUACCGGGUGAUUGGAUGCGUCGCCGAUCAAAGACAUCAGAUUCAUGUUGGACAUCGCCUGCGCCCAUGCCAAGAUUGUCUCGCUUGUUGAAGUUUGUCUUGUAGUUUAUUUGCAGGGUUGACAUUUGAUAUGAAAUGUAAUCUUUGUCUUGGAUAGUAAGAUUCUGCAUAAAAUGUGUAUCAAAUUAAUUGUUGUACGCAGCAAGAAUUUUUAACGAAACUUCUGAUCAGAGAAAAAGAAAGAAAUGGAUGGCGUCGACCCUGCAUGUCGCUGGUUAUAUAUGAUACAUUCUUUCUAAAUCGUAGUACAGUACUCUAUCCGCUCAUAUCGUUUCAAGGUAUUUUAUAUAUUAUGUAUAUUUAUUAUUGUGUCGGAAGUAAGUACCCAUCAUUUCUCAAACAAAAAUACGGUACUUUAACAAAGUAAUUUUAAUGCAAAAAAUUAUUUUGCUGAAAUGAUCGA
rnacentral:lncRNA from 1 species